rnacentral:rRNA from 1 species
GUAGGUGGCAAGCGUUGUCCGGAAUUAUUGGGCGUAAAGCGCGCGCAGGCGGUUCGUUUAAGUCUGAUGUGAAAGCCCACGGGCUCAACCGUGGAGGGUCAUUGGAAACUGGAGAACUUGAGUACAGAAGAGGAAAGCGGAAUUCCACGUGUAGCGGUGAAAUGCGUAGAGAUGUGGAGGAACACCAGUGGCGAAGGCGGCUUUCUGGUCUGUAACUGACGCUGAGGCGCGAAAGCGUGGGGAGCAAACAGGAUUAGAUACCCUGGUAGCCCACGCCGUAAACGAUGAGUGCUAAGUGUUAGGGGGUUUCCGCCCCUUAGUGCUGCAGCUAACGCAUUAAGCACUCCGCCUGGGGAGUACGGCCGCAAGGCUG